UACGUAGGGGGCAAGCGUUGUCCGGAAUCAUUGGGCGUAAAGAGCGUGUAGGCGGCCAGAUAAGUCCGCUGUGAAAUCUCGAGGCUCAACUUCGAGCUGUCGGUGGAAACUGUCUGGCUAGAGUCCGGAAGAGGAGAAUGGAAUUCCUGGUGUAGCGGUGAAAUGCGCAGAUAUCAGGAAGAACACCCGUGGCGAAGGCGGCUCUCUGGGACGGUACUGACGCUGAGACGCGAAAGCGUGGGGAGCAAACAGG
rnacentral:rRNA from 1 species